GCGGGAGUGCCUGCCGGAGGCAGCGGCGCGCUCAUCAAGGGGCUGGGAGCAGCGGCCGGAGCGGCGGGGCCCGCCCCGAGUUGCCGAGAGAAGUUUCCGUCGUGCCGCUACGUCCAGAGACGGUCCAUGGAGGUGCGCGGUCCCCGCGCCGGCGGGCGGGCGGGCGGCUAGUGCAUGCGCCUAAUUAGCGCGGGGAUCACAUCAACAGCUUCCUCUGAAGCCUGCUUAACCACUAACCCCUCAUCUUCUGUUGGACUGGGGCUUGAGUGUCUCUGAAGAGCUGAUCACUGGUACAAAUCCAACCUAUGUCCAUUAAGAGAUAAUUAGGGUCUGCAAUAAAUGAGAGGUGAGGUUGGAUUGGAUCCCCUCCACCACUAGCCGUCCUCACUUCUGGAGCCACGGGGCUGCGGGAGAUCUCCGCUUCCAAGCCAAGCGUCUUGCCCUCGGGGCUGGGGGCAUGAAAUGUCUCCAAAUUGUGACCCCUGAAGACUCCAAAGCCAGAAAGCGCAGACAAAGAACCGCACGUUUCGUUUUCCUUUGAAGUCUCAUGAUUUUCCCCUGCCUCCCUCGCGGGUUUCAGACGUUUGAGGCAGCGCUUACAGAUGUGGCUGCAGCGGUGCAGCGCCGCACCAGCGCACCGGCGCCCAGCCCGGCCCCGGACCUGGCUGCUCGUCCCUGCGGCCAAGGUGCUUGUGAGAAGUGAAUGCACUGCCUGGCAGGGAUGGGAACUCGCCAGGGACAGGCAGCUUGACCCCCUCCACUCUGCCCAGAUCAGGACCUCACCCCUGCUCCCAGCGACCACCCUCCCGAGGGCCAGCCCUAGUGCAGUGUCCUCCAGCCCGGCCCGGAUCCGCUGCCCUGCAUCACGCGUGGGGGUGCUCUGCCCCCUGCACUGCGCGACAAAGAAAGGACAAAGACGCAGGUCGCACAACGGGAUCAAGGUUUGGAAAUCUCGUGUGUGUGUCUAUAAGGCGUGACUUGCUGAUUUUAGGUAGUCAAAGACACCUAAGUCUGAGCAGAGAGGAUGUGAAUUGCCGCAGAAGCAGGAUGGGUGCAUUUUGUUCUGCAAAAGUGUGAGUGGUUCCACAAGGUGCAGGAUGAGAGAACUGGGCCUACUGCUUUACACUUUUCCUAGGGUAUCAGAUGGCCAAAAAGGGUGAAACUAUAGCCUGUUUUUGCUCUCUGAUCAAGCUGUAUCAGUCCCAAAUGAGGAAAGAACUAAAACAGCUAUUUAAAGCAAGAAAUGGAGUUAAAUAUGAAUUAGGUGCAUGUUUAAGUGCUGUUCUGCAUCUAGCCUGUUGACUCAAAGAUGUUUACAUUUUUGAGUGAAAUAAAACAAAAAAUUGGUUUAAAAUGAUCUGACUGAAAAUUCUUUUUUCUUUGGCUGCUAAGAUUUAAUUGAGGUUCAAUCAUCCAAAGAUUAUUCCAGGAAAUCAAAGAUUAUACAACAGCUGAAUUUCCAGUCUGGGUGGAAGGAGGCAGGGGGUGUUUUGCAUUCCCCAAGCAGUCUCUUAUAAACUCCAUGACCAAGUUAUCCUUCAUUUAAAAAAGCAUUCCCAAAUCCUCUUGUUUUAUUACCUAUUGUUAUAUAGGAGGAAUCUUUGCCUGAGUACCUAAACCUUUCUUUAAUUACUCCCUUGGUAUUUUUACAUGCUUUGUUAAACAUCCAGCCAUGUCAGCUUUAGGUCAUGUGGCCUAUUAAAAGUUCACACUCUCAGUCACUUGUCUCAAUCUGUGGUUCUAUUUCAUUACCAGAUUUUCAAAAAUCCCUUAUUUUGAAAGUGCACUAGUACUUCCCUGUACUAAGAAAAUGGUUCACUUUUCUCCCUCCUCUCCUUCCUUGUUCCUUUUAUAAAUAAAAGUAGUUUUGGAGGUUGACUUUCUUAAUUUUUAAAAGGGAAAACAUGCACAAGCCUUUCCCCUCCUCCACAAUUUCAAGUUAGAAUACAAAUGGUUAAAAUAAAGUAUUGUAUCAAAAAUCCAUUGAUGUGAGCAAAUACAGUAGUUUGCUAAUUAAAAAUACAAGGUAGAGCUAAUAUAUGCAGCGGGUUUUAAAAAUAGUUUUUGCAAUUGGAAUAAUAUACACACCAAUAAUUAGUGUGUUGAGCUUCAAGAAAAGGUUAGUGUUUAGAGUUGGUUUGUUUGUUGUUUUUCCCUAAUCUUAUUUGACGAAUGACAGACAGUAAGUCACUUAUCUAUGACACAGGCAGGAAGCUAGUAAAAUUAAUUCUAACUAGCAGUAGUGUACUUCCUAAAAGUAGUUAUUUAGGCUAACAUGUCCAGAUGUAAAUUAGAAGCUUUUUAGAAGGUUUAGGUUUAGAUCAUUUUCCCAUCAGUACUAUAAUGUUAUUUCUAGUUGAGUUUCAUUUUUUUGAAACUGAAUAAAAUACAACUGAUCUUGUUACCUGCCUUUUUGAUUAAAAAUUCAAAAUUCUAACUUUCUAUUGAAAAGCUUCCGGGUGGCAUCUCUUGAUAUUCCCCAGACUCUUACGUAAUAGGCUUACUACCUUCUGCUCCUCUGGCAUGUAGAUUUUAAAAUGUUCCUUAUAAACACCCAUUCUUUUUGUAAAAACAAUAGCCCUUGAUUUGAUUAAGUGUAAUUCAUUCCAUCUGUACAGGAUACAUCUGUCUCGUUCCUUGAAAAGGAUAUGCCCAGUGAAGUAUGGAUUACUUCCUUCUUUCCCAUUUCAGUGAGCCUAUCCUGCUGUCUGAUGCUGCAUUCAUGUACACCUCUGCCUCUGUUUUCUUUUGUCUUAUACAGUAGAACCUGGAUUCUUGAUUCUUCCUUCUUCCCCCCGCCCUUUGCAAAGACUCUGUUAACCAUGAGGCUCUGUGGAAGAUCAUAUCAAAGUUUAGCUAUCCAAGGAAAUUUAUCACUAUCCUAAGACUCCUGCAUAACUAGAUGACUGCCUCCAUCCUAUGCAGUGGCUCUGCCAUGGAGCCAUUUGCCAUUCGAAUUGGCAUCAAGCAGGGCUGUGCGAUCACACCAAAUCUGUUUUCCAUCUUUCUUGUGGUCAUCAAGAUGCUCAUCCAUGACUGUCUGCCACAUGGCAUUGGCAUCAUGAAUGGAAACCUUUUCAAUCUUUUCCACCUUCAUGCCAAAACCCAAGUCACAUUGGCCUUGAUUGUGGAACUUAAAUACGCUGAUGAUUGUGGUGUUGUUGCACAUAUGGAGGAGGACCUACAAAUGGCCUUUAACCACUUCUCCAAAGCAUACCAGUGUCUGGGACUGACCCUUAACGUCAGAAAAAAAAGGUGCUUCAUCAACCUGCUCCGGGCCAAUCAACUCCCCUGGCAAACAUCCUCACUGACAAACAGGACCUGGAGAACGUUGACCACUUUGCAUACCUUGGCAGCCAUCUCUCAAAGAAGGCCAACAUUGAUAAGGAGAUCCAGUACAGCAUCCGAUGUGCCAGCUCUGCCUUCGGAAGACUGUACCAUCAUGUGUUCAAUAAUCACGACAUCAGGACUCAAAUAAAGCUCCUAUUAUAUAAGGCUAUGGUAAUCCCAGCUCUUUGCUAUGGCUGUGAACUUGGGCGACCUACAGGGAGCACCUGAAAAGCCUGGAAUGCCUUCAGCAGCACUGCCGCCGGAAGAUGGUUGGCAUAAAGUGGGAGGAUCAAUGCACAAAUGCCAGUGUCUUUACCAGUGCUAACACCACCAGCACAGAUGUGUUGAUUAUUCAACAUUGGCUGUGGUAGACAGGGCAUUGUGUGUGCAUGCCUAAUGUAUGGUUACCUAAAGAACUAUAUUCCCAACUCAGCCAAGGACAAAGGGCAUGCAGGGAUCAGGGGAAAUGUGUCAAGGACAGCCUGAAGGCAAACAUUAAGAAGUGUGGCAUUGACAUCACAAACUGGGAAAACUAGCUUGAGACAGGGCUACAUGGUGACAGAAAAAAGUCAGAAAUGGAAGGAAAGGAAACAAGACUGAGAAGUCCAUGGUUUGGCCCUCCCUUGAACCACCUGUGGCAUCAAUAGAAUGAGUUAACGAGCAAUGGUUAACACCUCCAAAGCCACAGACUAAGGAAAGGAAAGAAUCAAUACAGACAAUCAACUGCCCCAAGACAGACAGACAGUUGCACAAGCACCCUUGGCACGAGUUUUGUCUGUCAGCAGCCAGAG